rnacentral:rRNA from 1 species
AGAGUUUGAUCAUGGCUCAGAGCGAACGCUGGCGGCAGGCCUAACACAUGCAAGUCGAACGGACCCUUCGGGGUUAGUGGCGGACGGGUGAGUAACACGUGGGAACGUGCCUUUAGGUUCGGAAUAGCUCCUGGAAACGGGUGGUAAUGCCGAAUGUGCCCUUCGGGGGAAAGAUUUAUCGCCUUUAGAGCGGCCCGCGUCUGAUUAGCUUGUUGGUGGGGUAAUGGCCCACCAAGGCUACGAUCAGUAGCUGGUCUGAGAGGAUGACCAGCCACAUUGGGACUGAGACACGGCCCAAACUCCUACGGGAGGCAGCAGUGGGGAAUCUUGCGCAAUGGGCGAAAGCCUGACGCAGCCAUGCCGCGUGUAUGAUGAAGGUCUUAGGAUUGUAAAAUACUUUCACCGGUGAAGAUAAUGACUGUAGCCGGAGAAGAAGCCCCGGCUAACUUCGUGCCAGCAGCCGCGGUAAUACGAAGGGGGCUAGCGUUGCUCGGAAUUACUGGGCGUAAAGGGAGCGUAGGCGGACAUUUAAGUCAGAGGUGAAAUCCCGGAGCUCAACUCCGGAACUGCCUUUGAUACUGGGUGUCUUGAGUGUGAGAGAGGUAUGUGGAACUCCGAGUGUAGAGGUGAAAUUCGUAGAUAUUCGGAAGAACACCAGUGGCGAAGGCGACAUACUGGCUCAUUACUGACGCUGAGGCUC